GCUAUUAUUGUUUAUUAUUAUAUUCAUUUAUAUGUUAAGGUAGUUAUAUGCAUGAUUUAAGCAUUGCAGGUAUGGUGCCAAGGGAGAGACGACCACGUCAGAUUUUUCAACCUCCCCAUGAGGAUGAGCCUUCUCCCAUUUCCACUGCCGCACCAUUGGAGCUGCCAGAGGCUACUGCAGAGGUGGGUCUGAGUGGUAUUUUAAUAUUUUUUUACAUAAUAAAAUUUGAUUUUAAUUGUAUCUGUUAGGUUUAUAGAUAGCUGUAUUUCUAAUGAUUUAUUCAUUGUUGUUUCAGGUCAUUCGAUACAAGUAGUGAGGCAAGGGCGAGGUCCGUCAAAGAACGUCACCCUGGAGCAU
rnacentral:lncRNA from 1 species